CAGUCGCCGCGGUAAUACGUAGGUCCCGAGCGUUGUCCGGAUUUAUUGGGCGUAAAGCGCGUCUAGGUGGUUAUGUAAGUCUGAUGUGAAAAUGCAGGGCUCAACUCUGUAUUGCGUUGGAAACUGUGUAACUAGAGUACUGGAGAGGUAAGCGGAACUACAAGUGUAGAGGUGAAAUGCGUAGAUAUUGGGAGGAACACCAGUGGCGAAAGCGAGGUCCUGGACCCUUUCUGACGCUGAGACGCGAAAGCCAGGGGAGCGAACGGGAUUAGAUACCCGGGUAGUCCCUGUCUCUUAUACC
rnacentral:rRNA from 1 species